rnacentral:rRNA from 1 species
AUGACGAACGGGUACCUCUUCCGGGAGUACCUCGGCGCGCAGUCCACGGGCGUCCGGUUCUCCGACGUGCCUGUCAACCCCGGCGUCAGCUUCCACUACAUCCUCGCCUUCGCCAUCGACUACACGCCGGUGGCGCAGCAGCCCACGCCGGCGCCCACCAACGGCGUGUUCAGCGCGUUCUGGGACACGGCCAACCUCUCCCGCGCCGACGUGGCCGCCAUCAAGACCGCGCACCCGAACGUGAGCGUCAUGGCCGGCCUCGGCGGCGACAGCGUGCUGGACAUCGUCAAGGUCUCCUUCGCGCCGGCCUCCGUCGACUCGUGGGUGGCCAACGCCGUGGCCUCGCUCUCGCGCCUCAUCAACGAGUACGGCCUCGACGGGGUGGACGUCGACUACGAGCGCUUCGCCGCCGGCGUCUCCGUCGACACCUUCGUGGAGUGCGUCGGCCGGCUGCUCACCCGGCUCAAGGCCGCCUUCCCCAACAUCACCACCUCCAUCGCGCCCUUCGAGGACGACACCGUGCAGAGGUACUACCGGGCGCUGUGGAGCAGGUACUCCGGCGUCAUCGACUACGUCAACUUCCAGUUCUACGGCUACGGCGCCAACACCGACGUCCCGACCUACGUCAUGUUCUACGACCGCCAGACGGGCUUCUACCCCGGCGCCAGGGUGCUCGCCAGCCUGCAGACCGGCAAGACCACGGAGGAGCUCGGCCUGCUCUCGCCGGACCAGGGCAUCGCCGCCGCCAAGGAGCUGCUAAGGCAGAACAAGCUGCCGGGCUUCUUCAUCUGGUCGGCCGACAGCUCCAAGCAGAGCACCUACAAGUUUACCUAUGAGACCAGGGCGCAGGAGAUCGUCGCCAACCAUUGA